CAGCGUGAGUUAGAUGAAGAGGACAAUUCUAGUUCCAGUGAAGAGGAUCGGGAAUCAACUGCACAGAAGCGAAUUGAAGAGUGGAAACAGCAGCAGCUGGUUAGAGAGAAAUGCUAAUUUUGAAGCCCUUCCUGAGGAUUGGAGAGCAAGGCUGAAGAGAAGGAAAAUGGCUCCAAACACAUAGUUUUUAAGUUUUUAAAACUUUUUUGUAUUAUUGUUUGUUUUGUGUUCAGUUCAAAGUCUUAACCAGUUUUAUUGUCAAAUAAACUAUAAAUGUUAUGGGGGAGAUCUUAUAAAUUUCCUGGGCAAGAGUGUAUGCAUACAAAGUUUUCACUUUUGUGAAAUGUAAUUUUUCUGUUUUUGCAAAGGGAUGAGGUGAUUGGAAUUGCUUUGACCAUGCUGCCUUUAUUCUCAAACUGGCAAACUUAGCAUGUUAGGUGUAUUAACCUCAUCAGUCUUGAAGAACAUGUGGCUCAUGAGUAUAACACUUCUGUAGAGGACUCCCUGACAAAAGUGAAGAAUUAACUUCUCCUCCAGAACAAGUGCAAUUCAGAAGGCAGCUCUGCAUUCUACCUUGCUUGACUGGAAUUGUCUGAAGCUUUUUCUGGCCUCUUUUCUCUAGUCGGCCACCCCUGAAGUGCUGAGGUCUAAGUGGUUUACCUCGUGCUGAUAGAUGGCCACACUCUUUAGAGUAGUUCUCAUAAGUUCUAGAACUGGUAGCUCGGUCGUUUCGCACACUAGGUGGCAUACAGGCAGCAGCAGGUGUUCAUAUCCUUGAUUUUGAGAAUUUCCCCUCAAGUAUGUGGCAGUAAAUACAACAAGACACUCUAUGUAUUAAUGUCUCCAUUGUCUUAACCCUGUUCCAAAACAAAAUUCACCUCCUUUCUUUAUGUGAAUGUAUUCUCCAUAAAAUUCCAGUAUUUAAAAAGCAGUUUACUGUUCUGUACUUUCUGUUGUAUCACAAUCAGGUAAAAGUCACUUUAAACUGAGGAAACGGCAAAUUGUGUUUUAAAGCUCUUUGUAUUUCUCCAGUUUCUGACCUUGUAAAUUUGUAUAUAUGCACUAAUAAAGCUUUUUU
rnacentral:lncRNA from 1 species